rnacentral:rRNA from 1 species
GCACAAUCAGUGCAGGCGAGCUGGGGAAUGCGGUGGUUGCAAUUGUGAAUAGGAAACAGUGGGCGUAAAGAGCAUGUAGUCAGAUUAAUAAUAUAGAAGGGAAAUCCUAUUGCGUAACUAUAGAACUGCUGUGAGAACUGUGAAUCUAUAAUGUGUGAGAGGUAGAUGGAAUUUCUGGUGUAGGGGUAAAAUCCGUAGAGAUCAGAAGGAAUACCGAUUGCGAAGGCGAUCUACUGGAACAUUAUUGACGCUGAGAUGCGAAAGCGUGGGGAGCAAACAGGAUUAGAUACCCUGGUAGUC